rnacentral:rRNA from 1 species
AGAGUUUGAUCAUGGCUCAGAUUGAACGCUGGCGGAAUGCUUUACACAUGCAAGUCGAACGGCAGCACGGGAGCUUGCUCCUGGUGGCGAGUGGCGAACGGGUGAGUAAUGCGUCGGAACGUACCGAGUAAUGGGGGAUAACGCAGCGAAAGCUGUGCUAAUACCGCAUACGCCCUGAGGGGGAAAGUGGGGGAUCGCAAGACCUCACGUUAUUCGAGCGGCCGACGUCUGAUUAGCUAGUUGGUGGGGUAAAGGCCUACCAAGGCGACGAUCAGUAGCGGGUCUGAGAGGAUGAUCCGCCACACUGGAACUGAGACACGGUCCAGACUCCUACGGGAGGCAGCAGUGGGGAAUUUUGGACAAUGGGGGCAACCCUGAUCCAGCCAUUCCGCGUGAGUGAAGAAGGCCUUCGGGUUGUAAAGCUCUUUCAGCUGGAACGAAACGGUACAUCCUAAUACGGUGUGCUAAUGACGGUACCAGCAGAAGAAGCACCGGCUAACUACGUGCCAGCAGCCGCGGUAAUACGUAGGGUGCGAGCGUUAAUCGGAAUUACUGGGCGUAAAGCGUGCGCAGGCGGAUUGUUAAGCAAGAUGUGAAAUCCCCGGGCUUAACCUGGGAAUGGCAUUUUGAACUGGCAGUCUAGAGUGUGUCAGAGGGGGGUGGAAUUCCACGUGUAGCAGUGAAAUGCGUAGAGAUGUGGAGGAACACCAAUGGCGAAGGCAGCCCCCUGGGAUAACACUGACGCUCAUGUACGAAAGCGUGGGUAGCAAACAGGAUUAGAUACCCUAGUAGUCC